rnacentral:ncRNA from 2 species
AUUUCAGGUUUUGGAACAGGUACUGUCGCCAUGGACGAUGGUUGAAAAGAGAAGCCGGUAAGAAGCCGGCGCGGUCCCGCCACUGUGAGGGGAGCGAACCUGCAAGACGUCACUGGAGCACUCUGGGAAGGCGCAGGCGAGCGAUGAACCGAGCCAGGAGAACUGCCUGUUCGAAAGUCACCGU